AUUCUGUACUGGAGAAAAUCUAAACUAUUAGUUCUAAAGCAAGAACUGUAAUAUUUGACAACAUACAUGUUUAUGUACUGGUGAUCAUAACUGGAAAAAAGGAGGGGAUGUUCUUUUUAUGCUAGGAAAGGGAAUGAACACACAGGGGCUUUUGUUUGUCUGGUUUUAACAACAUGCAAGCCAAGGAUUAAGUUGCAACACAGAACUACAGCACUUGGAUUGCUGCUUCUUUGAUGCUCAUGAAGCCAAAUUAAUUGACAAAAUCCCCAUGUCAAAUCUUAUCAUUUUAGGGCUGGUGAACAGAUUGAUCUGAUCAACACACUUCCUAUUUUCAGCGUGUAUUGGAGUGCGGCACACAAAAUGCUGUGACAGCAUCAGCUCUAGAUAUCAUGUGCAUGUACAACAGCCCAGUAUUAUGCGGUAUUUGCCUCUGUCUAGAAGUAGUAUGUUUAUAUUCAUAUAGUACUGCAGGCCCAAUACAAUAUGGCUUUUUGAGCCAAGCUGAUUCACAUGAAGCCUAAUAUAGGCAGUGCCAGAGUGCAGAAGUAACAGUCGUUACAGUCUAAAUGCAAGUACUGAGUUGUCUUUUGUAUUAUCUUUUUCUAACGUGGUCUGCCAAAUGCUGAAAAAGUUGUAAGCCAUAGGCAAGUCUAAAUAAAGCAUUAGUUUAAGAAAGGAAUCAGGGCAUCAAUGUGGACAGCUCUGAAGACUUUUCCAUAACAUACUUUUACAUUCAAAACCAGACAAUAGAUGUAUUCAGAAUGAGAUUCAUAGUACUAGAGAAAAAAAAUUAAGAAUGCUUUCACAUAAAUCAGCAGCAUGCCUCACCUGGUUUCAGUGUGCAGAACUGGUUACCCCAACUUUAUGAGAUUAGUUUUCAAUAGCUUGCACAGUGGUUCUGACAGCUCAAUAUAUUGCAGGAGGAGGUACACCACUGCCAAACACAUAGGUAAUACAACCUUUUGACUCCUAAUACCAGUUUCUUCUUUACAUAGCUAAAGAUCAUAUAUGCCAUUUAAAGACUAAUGAUCCCGCCCAUCACCUUCCCUUAGCUUCAUGCCCUAAAAUCUGCACUGCUGCUACCACCAAACUGAGUUUUUUUGUCUGCUGGAAAUAAGGAUGAAGUUAGUUAUUUAAUCAGCAUUCUGUGGGAGGGAGAACACAGGAUGCAUUCUUCCCUGGCUGGGAAAUCUUGGACCAGCUCUAAAGAAAUAAAUGGAGUCAGCUCAGCAAUAUUUCUGGGGCUAGAUAGUCCAGUGACAUGAAAGUCACUUGCCAAUCUGAAUGGAACUUGUGUACAUGAACUGAGAAGUCUAGGGUUUGUUUACAAUAUGCCUGUCUCUGAUCUUCUUACGUUUGUUAUAGUCAAAGUUUUCCUAUUGCUGCAAUAUAGUUGCUUGCAUUUGCAAACUGUGUAUUAAAAAUUAAUUUAUCUCUCUGGGUCUAAUACCCAAAGAGCUACAUGUGAUUUUGUACCUGUACCGUCAGUUACAGAAAUGCUUUCCAUAGCCAUAUGAUUCAGAGACUUAAGUGAGAACACAGCUGGAAUACAUGUCUCUAUGGAGAGAACUGCUGUGUCUAGUCUGUCUUAGUGUCACGGCUUAAAGUGCAACAAUAGGCCUUAACUGGCCUGACCAGUCUCACCUGGGACUCACAUCCUCUGCCCAGGGCCUGGGAGCUCCAUUUUACCUCCAUUUAGGCCUGAGUGACUGUCCUGGUUUUGGCUGAGAUAAUUUUCUUUCCAGUAGCUGGUAUAGUGUUAUGUCUUGGAUUCAGUAUGAGAAUAACGUA